rnacentral:sRNA from 1 species
UAUAACGAAUUUAAUCUUUUAUAGUUUUUUAUGCUGCGUUAACACCAAGGGAGUAUGGGGGGAAUCACCGGAGGGAUUAUUGCCCGGCAUCAAUAAGGGGAUAAAAAAAAGCGCCCGGAGGCGCUUUUGAGAAACA